GCUGAACGGNNNNNUUNACGUGGGUGAUCUGCCCUGCCCUUCCGGAUAANCCUGGGAAACUGGGACUAAUAUUGGAUAUGACCUUUGGUUGAUACUGNUGGUGGAAAGUUUUUCGGUGCCCGAUGAGCUCGCGGCCUAUCAGCUUGUUGGUGGGGUAAUGGCCUACCAAGGCGGCGACGGGUAGCCGGCCUGAGAGGGUGGACGGCCACCUUGGGACUGAGACACGGCCCAGACUCCUACGGGAGGCAGCAGUGGGGAAUAUUGCACAAUGGGCGCAAGCCUGAUGCAGCGACGCCGCGUGGGGGAUGACGGCCUUCGGGUUGUAAACUCCUUUCAACCAUGACNAAGCUUUUGUGACGGUAGUGGUAGAAGAAGCACCGGCUAACUACGUGCCNGCAGCCGCGGUAAUACGUAGGGUGCGAGCGUUGUCCGGAAUUACUGGGCGUAAAGAGCUCGUAUGUGGUUUGUCGCGUCNUCUGUGAAAUUCCGGGGCUCAACUCCGGGCGUGCAGGCGAUACGGGCAUAACUUGAGUGCUGUAAGGGAGACUGGAAUUCCUGGUGUAGCGGUGAAAUGCNCAGAUAUCAGGAGGAACACCGAUGGCGAAGGCAGGUCUCUGGGCAGUAACUGACGCUGAGGAGCGAAAGCAUGNNUAGCGAACAGGAUUANANNCCCUGGUAGUCCAUGCCGNAAACGGUGGGCGCUAGGUGUGGGGGUCUUCCACGACUUCUGUGCCGUAGCUNACGCAUUAAACGCCCCGCCUGGGGAGNACGGCCGCNNGGCUAAACUCAAGGAAUUGACGGGGGCCCGCACANNCGGCGGANCNNGUGGANUNAUUCGAUGCAAACGCGAANAACCUUACCUGGGCUUGACAUGUAACCGGAUCGGCGCAAANAUGUGUCCUCCCNUNGNNGUCGNNUUACAGNGGNGCAUGGUUGUCGUCNGCUCNUGUCGUGANANGU
rnacentral:rRNA from 1 species